AGAGCCUUCAGGGAUUGUGACUGGCCUGCCCUCACAGAGGUUACUUUGAUGACCUAAUAAAUCAGAACGGCAGCAAGGUGAGAUCGUCCAGGGAGCCCUUUCACUGAGUGCCUGAGGUCGUUCCAAGCGUACCCGGCACCAUGGGCGUCUCACAAUCGUCCAGCGAGGAGUGGGAGCGGGAGAGCAGGUCCGAUUUAUGGUGGGCGCAAAUCCAGGAGGAGAUCCUGAACAAGUGCGACUUCAGCUGGGAACAGAUCAAGCUGCUGCACCAGAGGUUCAGGUUGCUGAGCGGGGACCAGCCCACCCUCCGGCCAGAGAGCUUCGACAACGUCCUGGACUUGGAGUUCAACCCGAUCCGCUCCAGGAUCGUCCGCGCCUUCUUCGACAACCGGAACCUGGGCAAAGGGACCAGCGGUCUGGCGGAGGAGAUCACCUUUCAGGACUUCCUGACUAUCAUCUCCUACUUCCGGCCGCUGCAGCCCGGUCUCAAGAAGGAGGAGCAGUCUCACAAAGAUAAGUUGCGUUUCCUCUUCAACAUGUACGACCAGGACGGCGAUGGGAUCAUCACCCUGCAGGAGUACCGCUGGGUGGUGGGGGACCUGCUGUCGGCGAACCCGCAGGUGGAUAGUGCCUCUCUGCUCUCGGUUACCAAUGCCAUCGCUCAGGAAGCCUUGAAGGAGGCGUCCAAGGUGUCCGACCAGCCGCUGACGGAGGACCAGCCUUACGAAGGCAUCACCUUCGAGGACUUCGUCAAGACCUGGCAGAGCCUCGAAUUGGAGGCCAAGAUGCAAGUCAGCUUCCUGAAUCUAGAAGCCAUGGGCUUGUGCCAGUGACCUGCCGGCUGCCGCAGCCCCACUGGAGAAGCUGCCCCAUUGAAUCCGGCAGACUCCUGCAGCCGCUAAGGGUUAAGUGGGACUUGAUGGCUUUCAUUUCUGAGAAUAAAGAUGACCAAAAGAGAAGA